GGUGGUAAUGCCGGAUGCUCCGGUUGGAUGCAUGUCCUUCCGGGAAAGGUUCCAUCGGUAUGGGAUGGGGUCGCGUCCUAUCAGCUUGAUGGCGGGGUAACGGCCCACCAUGGCUUCGACGGGUAGCCGGCCUGAGAGGGCGACCGGCCACAUUGGGACUGAGAUACGGCCCAGACUCCUACGGGAGGCAGCAGUGGGGAAUAUUGCACAAUGGGCGCAAGCCUGAUGCAGCGACGCCGCGUGCGGGAUGGAGGCCUUCGGGUUGUAAACCGCUUUUGAUCGGGAGCAAGCCCUUCGGGGUGAGUGUACCUUUCGAAUAAGCACCGGCUAACUACGUGCCAGCAGCCGCGGUAAUACGUAGGGUGCAAGCGUUAUCCGGAAUUAUUGGGCGUAAAGGGCUCGUAGGCGGUUCGUCGCGUCCGGUGUGAAAGCCCAUCGCUUAACGGUGGGUCUGCGCCGGGUACGGGCGGGCUGGAGUGCGGUAGGGGAGACUGGAAUUCCCGGUGUAACGGUGGAAUGUGUAGAUAUC
rnacentral:rRNA from 1 species